rnacentral:ncRNA from 1 species
UUCAGACAUUUGGUUCAUGUGCUUGGCUGAUAAGCCAAUGGUGCGAAGCUACCAUCUGAGGGAUUAUGACUGAACGCCUCUAAGUCAGAAUCCCGCCUGGAAAGCGACGAUGCAUUCGUGCCUCGGCCUCGAGAGGCGUAGCUAGACGGCCGCGUGGCCGUGGAAAGAGCCCGAUUCCGACCCGAGAGGCCGCGGCAAGAGGCGGCCUCGAAGUCGGUGGAUCCUCCUGCUCGAAAGGCGGGGUGCUAAACCAUUCGCAGACGACCUAGUUGAAGAUCGGGGUGUCGUGAUCACUAGAGCAGUACAUCUCACUGCGAUUUGUUGAGAGUAAGCCUCAAGAUCUGUCGGUUUGU